GUCGCACCUACCGAUUGAAUGGUCCGGUGAGGACUCGGGAUUGUGGUUUGGCUCCUUCAUUGGGGCUAGGCUGCGAGAACUUGUCCGAACCUUAUCAUUUAGAGGAAGGUG
rnacentral:rRNA from 1 species